CUCCUCUAUUGAUCUACUCAUUUCUUCUUUGCGAACACCACGCUGUCUUGAUUACUGUAGCUUUAGAAAAUAAGUCUUGGAAUCAGAUAGGAGAACCCGGCUACCACGUGAAGAUGCCUGCUGGAGACCAUGUGAGCCAGACCACAUCAGACCUGACCUACAGAUGUGUGAGGCAGGCCAUCCCUCCUCAGCCAUGCCACCGAGGAGCCCAGGUGUGACCAACACAAGGGCAGCUCUGAACGGACUGCGGACCAACAGAAUCCGAAGCAGAGGAGCAGCUGUCAAGCUAGUUUGUUACGUAGCAGCAGGGAAAGAAUUCUUACAGCUAUAACUACUUUCAUCUUCCAAGAGACAAUAAUUCCACAUCCUAGCUUUCAGAUGAAAGGAAUCAAGUUCAUGCCUCCAUCUAAUCUUAUUCUGAAAAUGAAAAGCUGACAAU